ACCUCUAUAGCUCAGUUGGUAGAGCGUUCGUUUAGAUAACGAGAGGUCCCUAGAUCAACUCUGGGUGGAGGCA
rnacentral:tRNA from 1 species